rnacentral:rRNA from 1 species
UACGGGGGGGGCAAGCGUUGUUCGGAAUUACUGGGCGUAAAGGGCUCGUAGGCGGCCAACUAAGUCGGAUGUGAAAGCCCCAGGCUUAACCUGGGAAUGGCACCCGAAACUAUAAGUCUUGAAUGCUUGAGAGGUUGGUGGAAUUCCUGGUGUAGGAGUGAAAUCCGUAGAUAUCAGGAGGAAUAUCGGAGGCGAAGGCGGCCAACUGGUGGUGCAUUGACACUGAGGUGCGAAAGCGUGGGGAGCAAACAGG